rnacentral:rRNA from 1 species
GAUGAACGCUGGCGGCGUGCUUAACACAUGCAAGUCGAACGAAGUGGCGAACGGGUGAGUAACGCGUAAUCAACCUGACCUUCAGAGGGGGACAACAGUUGGAAACGACUGCUAAUACCGCAUACUGAAGGUGGGGAUUGUGUAUGAUUAGCUAGUUGGAGGGGUAACGGCCCACCAAGGCGAUGACCAGUAGUCGGGCUGAGAGGAUGAACGGCCACAAUGGGACCGAGACACGGCCCGAACUCCUACGGGAGGCAGCAGUAGGGAAGCUUCCGCAAUGGGCGCAAGCCUGACGGAGCAACGCCGCGUGAAUGAAGAAGGUUUUCGGAUCGUAAAGCACUGUUGUAAGGGAAGCGGUAUCUUACCAGAAAGCCACGGCUAACUACGUGCCAGGAGCCGCGGUAAUAC